rnacentral:rRNA from 1 species
GAGGAAUUGGCGGGGGAGCACCGCAACGGGAGGAGCGUGCGGUUUAAUUGGAUUCAACACCGGAAAACUCACCAGCGGCGACUGUUACAUGAAAGUCAGGCCGAUGACCUUACUAGAUUUUCAGAGAGGUGGUGCAUGGCCGUCGUCAGUUCGUACCGUAAGGCGUCCUCUUAAGUGAGAUAACGAACGAGACCCUCACCAAUAGUUGCUAUCCCAUCCUCCGGGGUGGGAGCACACUAUUGGGACCGCUGGCGCUAAGUCAGAGGAAGGAGAGGUCAACGGUAGGUCAGUAUGCCCCGAAUCUGCUGGGCUACACGCGCGCUACAAAGGGCGGGACAAUGGGCUCCGACGCCGAAAGGCGAAGGUAAUCCCGAAACCCGUCCGUAGUUCGGAUUGAGGGUUGUAACUCACCCUCAUGAAGCUGGAUUCCGUAGUAAUCGCGAAUCAACAACUCGCGGUGAAUAUGCCCCUGCUCCUUGCACACACCGC